CUCACUCUGUCACCUAGGCUGGGGUGCAGUGGUGCAAUCAUAGCUCACUGCAACCUCUACCUCCUGGACUCAAGCGAUCCUCCUGCCUCAGCCUCCCGAGUGGCUGGGACUACAGGCACACUGCCACGCCCAGCUAACUUUUGUAUUUUUUAUGGAGAUGGGGGACUUGUUAAAUUGCCCAGGCUGGUCUCAAACUCCUGACCUCAAGUGAUCCGCCU
rnacentral:lncRNA from 1 species